rnacentral:rRNA from 1 species
UUCCGUAGGUGAACCUGCGGAAGGAUCAUUACCUAGAGUUGUAGGCUUUGCCUGCUAUCUCUUACCCAUGUCUUUUGAGUACCUUACGUUUCCUCGGCGGGUCCGCCCGCCGAUUGGACAAUUUAAACCAUUUGCAGUUGCAAUCAGCGUCUGAAAAAACUUAAUAGUUACAACUUUCAACAACGGAUCUCUUGGUUCUGGCAUCGAUGAAGAACGCAGCGAAAUGCGAUAAGUAGUGUGAAUUGCAGAAUUCAGUGAAUCAUCGAAUCUUUGAACGCACAUUGCGCCCCUUGGUAUUCCAUGGGGCAUGCCUGUUCGAGCGUCAUUUGUACCUUCAAGCUCUGCUUGGUGUUGGGUGUUUGUCUCGCCUCUGCGUGUAGACUCGCCUCAAAACAAUUGGCAGCCGGCGUAUUGAUUUCGGAGCGCAGUACAUCUCGCGCUUUGCACUCAUAACGACGACGUCCAAAAGUACAUUUUUACACUCUUGACCUCGGAUCAGGUAGGGAUACCCGCUGAACUUAAGCAUAUCAAUA